UUCACAGUUUAUUUUUAUCAAGAAUUAACGAGUACUUACAAGUAUACACCACAUCAGCAUCCUGACCAUUAUUUAAGAAGCAAGGUGCUGUCAGAUCACAGAUAAAGGGAUCCCUGCGGCUAGACUGAACAUACCAUGGCCGUGAACCUUCACCAUCAACUGAUCAACAAGCCAAUGGAAGACACCAAGCUCAAAUAGGCUCCUACAGAUGGACUGAAACUAGCUGACUUCUGGAUUCAUAGGAAUGGACCAAAAUCUAAUGAAGAUAUGGACCUAGGUCCAUGAUAUAAGACUAAUCAUGGGGUGAUCAAUCUGUUAAAAGAUACAAUCUUUACAAUCAGACUCAACUAAAUUGAACCAGAUACAACCAUAUUCAACCGGACUAAACAAGACUCAACCAGAUUAAUUCGGGCUUCAUCAGAUUCACCCAUUGAACUGAAUGAAUAGCUGAACAUCAUCAACAUGGGAAGAUUUGUAACCUGCUCUCUACAUCAUAAAAUGUCUUCUAAUAUUCAUACCCUGAGGACGUGGUGUGUGACAAAUUACAAAGCUAUUCUAAAAGUAUAGAACUGCUUUAUAGGUCAAUUGCAUAUGGAAAGAAAAAUGACAUUCCUAAUCAUAUUUAUUCUUAUAAGCUAAAGUUGUAAAUGGAAUUUUGAAUCAAAUAUUUGGAGUAACAUUUUUGUCAAUGAAAAAAUAUAUAUAUUUAUUUUGAUAGACUAACAUUUUCUUAACUCCUUGCCUAUUGGAAUUCAAUGGCCCUGUUCAAAGACUAUGGGGAGCACAGAAUUUCAGUUGUUCAUGAAUUAUAUCAAGAUUGUAUUGUGUAUCUUGAAAUGUCACACUCAAUUUGCUCAUGAAGCCCUGCACAGGGGUCACAAUAUUGAUAGAUAGAUAUAUACAUUCCUGGCAUGUAACAGCUUUCAGAGAAUAAAAAAUCAAGCUCGACAAGUAAAAUGGAAUUAUGCUUUGCAUUUUAUUAUGUUUCACACAAUGCAUUUGAUGCACAAGAAGGAUUAAAAUCAGCCACUCACAAACCACAAUUUGAUUGUGAAAAGUUAGAUACAGAAAUCAAUAUAAAGAUAAAUAGAGUAGUUCUUAAUAAUAUUUGCUGUAGAAUGAAGAGAUUUUAGAAAAUUAAAUCAAAUUAGACAAUGAAAGGGGAAAUAUUUGCUACUAACUGUUUCAUCAAAAUCAAAAGUAUUUACAGAAAAUGCCAAAGCUGUCCGUCUUUGGUUUUAAAAUCUUUUGUACAUUUUCCCCUUUCCUAUGCAAAAAGGGUAUGUUUAUAUCAGCUGCAAGAAAUAAAAACAAUAAAAUGGCAUAAUAAAAUAUUUACAUUGUGUACAGGUUCUAUUUUUCUUUUGUUAAGGUAUUAACAAUCUUUAGAAUAAAAUUUUGUUUGGAUUAUACAAAAUAAGCAGUCCUUGCUAAGCAAUAUUAAGGGAAUCCUAAAAUCAUACAAAUAAAUAAAGAGUGAAAAUAAUACUACGAAGAGUUGAUUCAAAAGAUGUUUACAUUAAAACCUGGAUAUUAUCAUAUGUAAACAUUUAAAAUAUGUUGAUAAUGUUUUUUACCCUGUAUUCAUAUUAAUAUAUUAUGCUCUAAAAAUAUACAAUAUGUUUGUUUUAAUGCUCCCUUGCUCUAAGUAAAAUAAAUGACAAAAAGUAGUUUUCUACAAAAAUUACAUAAGUUAUAAUUCCUUUAUGUUAAUAUGUAAAAUUUCACUUAAAUCUACAAUACAUUUGUGUAUUAGUGUAAUAAGGCAUCUGUUUCAUUGUUUUUAAAAUAAUAGUUAUAUUUUAUCAAUUAUUACACUAGUCAUACUGAAGCUUUAAAUUGUGCUUUUAUGAGGAUAUGAUGCAUAAAUUAUAGCAAAUGAGACAAGUUAAAUGGGGAAUUUCUUCUGACAAUUGUUGUAUCCUGAUUUACUGGCUUAGUGUAACAGUGAAUUGGCUUGUUUAAAUCUAAUUUCAAACGAUUCAUAUUCAAAACUUUGAUGAGUGCACAAUUUAAAAACUUUUGAUUGACUCUAUUUAACAUAUUUUUUCAGUUUCUUACACCAAAUAAUCUUUGUAUGCUGGUCACUCUGUCAAUUCAGCUAUUGUGCAAUGUGAAUGUGAAUACAUUUUAAAGGUACUCUUAACAAAGUUCCUGAGCCCUGUAACAUAAACUAAUGGUGGAUAAUUUUAUUGCUUUUUAUAAUUGAUUGUACAUAACGAUCAGUGCAACCAAUUUUUAAUAAAUUAGUCAAUAAUUAAUCUUUAAACUUUGUGUUGCAGGGCCUUGCUUUCUUUUGUUUUAUGUGUAUAAUUGGUAAAUGCAAAAUAUAUCCUUCACAACAUCAACAUGUAAGAAACUUGGAGCAUUUCAUCCAUGAAGUAAUAGAUUGAAAUUGUUUCUACCUUGUAACUAACACAAUAUACAGUGUAAUAUAUAGAAAAUAAUUUCAAUGCAAUGCAAAUAGUACCAGGCAUUCAUACACAGCUAAAGGCAGGUUUGUAUUAUGUCUUUAACUGUAAACAAAAACAAAACCUCACACCUCAUUAAAUACUGAGCGUUAAUACUUUGUUUAUAAAUUUGUAAAAGCUCUCUAUAAUACAAGCUUUACAGAUGGGAUGUAUAAGAUAAACGUCAUGCAUUGAUAAUAAUAAUGGUGAUAUACUGCACUUAGAAACAUCUGUACAAAGCAAUAUGUAAAUUUAUAGUAUUAUUUUUAUCAUUAUCAUCAUGGAAUGAAGAAUAUUUCAGGUUGCCUUGUAAAGCUUAUAUUCAUAUCAGCCUGUAUGUAGCUCUUAUCUUCAUUAUGUUCACUAAUAAUAAAACAAAUAAUGCAUAAACUUGAA